AGUGAACGCUGGCGGUAGGCCUAACACAUGCAAGUCGAACGGCAGCACAGUAAGAGCUUGCUCUUACGGGUGGCGAGUGGCGGACGGGUGAGGAAUACAUCGGAAUCUACUUUUUCGUGGGGGAUAACGUAGGGAAACUUACGCUAAUACCGCAUACGACCUACGGGUGAAAGCAGGGGAUCUUCGGACCUUGCGCGAUUGAAUGAGCCGAUGUCGGAUUAGCUAGUUGGCGGGGUAAAGGCCCACCAAGGCGACGAUCCGCAGCUGGUCUGAGAGGAUGAUCAGCCACACUGGAACUGAGACACGGUCCAGACUCCUACGGGAGGCAGCAGUGGGGAAUAUUGGACAAUGGGCGCAAGCCUGAUCCAGCCAUACCGCGUGGGUGAAGAAGGCCUUCAGGUUGUAAAGCCCUUUUGUUGGGAAAGAAAAGCAGCAGGUUGAUACCCCGCUGUUCUGACGGUACCCAAAGAAUAAGCACCGGCUAACUUCGUG
rnacentral:rRNA from 1 species